AGAAUCAACGCUGGCGGCGUGCCUCAGACAUGCAAGUCGAACGAUUAAAGCUCUCUUCGGAGAGUGUAUAGAGUGGCGCACGGGUGAGUAACACGUAAGUAAUCUACCUUUGAGUGGGGAAUAACAUCGGGAAACCGAUGCUAAUACCGCAUAAUGCAGCGGCAUCGCAAGAUGACAGUUGUUAAAGAUUUAUCGCUUGAAGAGGAGCUUGCGGCAGAUUAGCUUGUUGGUAAGGUAACGGCUUACCAAGGCUACGAUCUGUAACCGGUCUAAGAGGACGGUCGGUCACACUGACACUGAAUAACGGGUCAGACUCCUA
rnacentral:rRNA from 1 species